rnacentral:rRNA from 1 species
UACAGAGGGUGCAAGCGUUGUUCGGAAUUAUUGGGCGUAAAGCGCGCGCAGGCGGUCCUUUAAGUCUGAUGUGAAAGCCCACGGCUCAACCGUGGAGGGUCAUUGGAAACUGGGGGACUUGAGUGCAGAAGAGGAAAGCGGAAUUCCACGUGUAGCGGUGAAAUUCGUAGAUAUUCGGAAGAACACCAGUGGCGAAGGCGGCUCACUGGCCCGUUACCGACGCUCAGGCGCGACAGCGUGGGGAGCAAACAGG